rnacentral:rRNA from 1 species
CGGACGGGUGAGUAACGCGUAAGAACCUGCCCUUGGGAGGGGGACGAACAGCUGGAAACGGUUGCUAAUACCCCAUAGGCUGAGGAGCGAAAGGAGGAAUCCGCCUAAGGAGGGGCUUGCGUCUGAUUAGCUAGUUGGUGAGGCAAUGGCUUACCAAGGCGACGAUCAGUAGCUGGUCUGAGAGGAUGAUCAGCCACACUGGGACUGAGACACGGCCCAG